rnacentral:lncRNA from 1 species
AAACUUUGAUAUCGUCUCAGGACAUGGACCUCAGCAACAAGAGUUCCAAACUUAGCGCCUCAAACGGCCAAAACUAAAUCCGAUCUAAAAUGCCUUCGCACUAUCUCUUUCCUAACUCAAACGCCUCGGCACUUACGGUCAAAGGCACAAAAGAACGACAAUCUCUUUAAAAAGUCAACCCCCAGUUCGAGACUUAGACUUAAACAGAAUCCGUAACAGCCUGUCCCUCAAUCCGGCUUUCUAUCGUGGUUUCAUAACAGUUCGGCCAAGGAAGCAAACAAAAGCACUCUUGGCCCAGCUCGGCAAACCGGUCCACGAC